rnacentral:rRNA from 1 species
GACGAACGCUGGCGGCGUGCUUAACACAUGCAAGUCGAACGGAAAGGCCCUGCUUUUGUGGGGUGCUCGAGUGGCGAACGGGUGAGUAACACGUGAGUAACCUGCCCUUGACUUUGGGAUAACUUCAGGAAACUGGGGCUAAUACCGGAUAGGAGCUCCUGCUGCAUGGUGGGGGUUGGAAAGUUUCGGCGGUUGGUGAUGGACUCGCGGCUUAUCAGCUUGUUGGUGGGGUAGUGGCUUACCAAGGCUUUGACGGGUAGCCGGCCUGAGAGGGUGACCGGCCACAAUGGGACUGAGAAAGGGCCCAGACUCCUACGGAAGGCAGAAGUGAGGAAUAUUGCACAAUAGGCGGAAGCCUGAUGCAGCAACGCCGCGUGCGGGAUGAAGGCCUUAGGGCUGUAAACCGCUUUCGCCUGUGACGAAGCGUGAGUGACGGUAAUGGGUAAAGAAGAACCGGCUAACUACGUG